AUGACAACAUUGUUGGAGGUCAGCUGUCACUCUCCUUGUUAUCUGCAGUCUGGUGUGCAGGCUGAAGAAACAGCCCUGUGUGGGACACUGCUGGUCUUCUGGUAGAAAGAAAAGAAAGAUGAUGGAAUCACACUGUGAUUCAGAUUGUGGGCUGCACUUCCACUUACGUUUUAUUGGCUAAAGUGUGCCUGCCCUCAACCCGGGACACUGGAGCUAGCACCAAAGCCUACACGGAGAGGAUCAGGACAUCCUGUUGAGCACCAGAACAUUUCCUUCCUCAAGAAAAGGAAAUACAAAUGGAUUUAUUCUCAGGGCUACAGAUUUAGGAAAAAAAAAAAAAAAAGCUGUGCUUAA
rnacentral:lncRNA from 10 species